UACGAAGGGGGCGAGCGUUGUUCGGAAUUACUGGGCGUAAAGGGCGCGUAGGCGGCCGAUCAAGUUAGAUGUGAAAGUCCUGGGCUUAACCUGGGGACUGCAUUUGAUACUGAUUGGCUUGAAUUCGGGAGAGGAUAGCGGAAUUCCCAGUGUAGAGGUGAAAUUCGUAGAUAUUGGGAAGAACACCGGUGGCGAAGGCGGCAUCCUGGACCAACACUGACGCUGAGGAGCGAAAGCCAGGGGAGCAAACGGG
rnacentral:rRNA from 1 species